rnacentral:rRNA from 1 species
UCCGGUGGCCGCAGAGAAUAGGCCCAAGCGACUGUUUACCAAAAACAUAGGUUUCUGCUAAGUCGCAAGACGAUGUAUAGGAGCUGACGCCUGCCCGGUGCUGGAAGGUUAAGGGGAUCUGUUAGAGCAAUCGAAGCAGUGAACUUAAGCCCCAGUAAACGGCGGCCGUAACUAUAACGGUCCUACGGUAGCGAAAUUCCUUGUCGGGUAAGUUCCGACCCGCACGAAAGGCGUAACGAUUUGGGCACUGUCUCAACAACAGACUCGGUGAAAUUGUAAUUCCGGUGAAGAUGCCGGCACCUGCGACAGGACGAAAGACCCCAUGG